rnacentral:rRNA from 1 species
UGGUUAAUUCGAAGCAACGACGAAGAACCUUACCAGGUCUUGACAUCCCGAUGCUAUUUCUAGAGAUAGAAAGUUACUUCGGUACAUCGGUGACAGGUGGUGCAUGGUUGUCGUCAGCUCGUGUCGUGAGAUGUUGGGUUAAGUCCCGCAACGAGCGCAACCCCUACGUUUAGUUGCUAACGUGUAACGAUGAGCACUCUAGGCGGACUGCCGUUGACAAAACGGAGGAAGUGGGGAUGACGUCAAAUCAUCAUGCCCCUUAUGUUCUGGGCUACACACGUGCUACAAUGGCCGGUACAAAGGGACGCAAAGCCGCGAGGUGGAGCAAAUCCGAUAAAAGCCGGUCUCAGUUCGGAUUGCAGGCUGCAAUUCGCUUGCAUGAAGUCGGAAUCGCUAGUAAUCGCAGGUCAGCAUACUGCGGUGAAUACGUUCCCGGGCCUU